GACGUAGGGUGCGAGCGUUAAUCGGAAUUACUGGGCGUAAAGCGUGCGCAGGCGGUUCGUUGUGUCGGUGGUGAAAUCCCCGGGCUUAACCUGGGAAUGGCCAUGGAAACUGGCGAACUGGAGUGCGGCAGAGGGGGGUGGGAAUUCCGCGUGUAGCAGUGAAAUGCGUAGAGAUCCGGAGGAAGACCGGUGGCGAAGGCGGCCUGCUGGGCAGUUACUGACACUGAGGCGCGACAGCGUGGGGAGCAAACAGG
rnacentral:rRNA from 1 species